UACGAAGGGUGCAAGCGUUACUCGGAAUUACUGGGCGUAAAGCGUGCGUAGGCGGUUUGUUAAGUCCGUUGUGAAAGCCCUGGGCUCAACCUGGGAAUUGCAGUGGAUACUGGCGAGCUAGAGUGCGGUAGAGGAUGGUGGAAUUCCCGGUGUAGCGGUGAAAUGCGUAGAGAUCGGGAGGAACACCCGUGGCGAAGGCGGCCAUCUGGACCAGCACUGACGCUGAGGCGCGAAAGCGUGGGGAGCAAACAGG
rnacentral:rRNA from 1 species